GGUUCAGAGAAAGUUCACAUUUCUGUAUUUCAUCGAGUUGUGCAAGAAUCAAGAUCAUGUAGUGUUAUACGCGUAUAUGUAGAGCUGGUGACUUUAAACAGGGUAGAGUAAGUAGUAUACGUGGCGCGCGUACUUCUCCAGUCGUUUGGUACUAGCAAGGAGAUAACUUUGAACAGCAUCAUGCCUCAGCGUGGCAGCCCAGAGACACUGAAGCACCUGAGUAUAGUCAGCAUGGCGACUCACAUGGACUCUGUAUGGGCUGCUGACUACAUCCACAACUACCUGGACCAGUAUCACUUCAUGUACAUCAUCGGCCCUUUUGAUGCUCUUCCCUCCCAUUUGAUCCAAGAGCUGAUAGAGUUUUUGGUGCAGAAAAGACAGCUGGGCCGGAGACACCUGCACCUGAUGAUCCACCAGCACCUGGAAAGUCUGCACCUGGGCAAAUGUAGCAGCUGCAUGACAGAUGCCGUCAUCAAGCUGGUGCAAAUUAGAUGCAAGGUACAUAGUAGGAAGCAUAUUCUUUUUGCAGAA